rnacentral:rRNA from 1 species
GACGUAGGGCGCGAGCGUUGUCCGGAUUUAUUGGGCGUAAAGAGCUCGUAGGCGGCUUGUCGCGUCGUUCGUGAAAACCUGUGGCUCAACUACAGGCUUGCGGUCGAUACGGGCAGGCUGGAGUUCGGUAGGGGAGACUGGAAUUCCUGGUGUAGCGGUGAAAUGCGCAGAGAUCGGGAGGAACACCUGUGGCGAAGGCGGCCAACUGGCCCGACCCUGACGCUGAGGCGCGAAGGCGUGGGGAGCGAACGGG